rnacentral:rRNA from 1 species
CCUGGUUGAUCCUUCCAAUUUUCAUUUUUUUGUGUCAAAUAUUAAGCCAUGGAUGUGUACGUAUGAACAAAUUCAUACUGUGAAACUGUGAAUGCCUCAUUAAAUCAGUUACAGUUUGUUUUGAUGGUUUCUAAUACUCUGAUAACUAUAGUAAUUGAAGAGCCAAUAUGUGCAACUAUCCCUAACUUCUGGAAGGGAUGUAUUUAUUAGAUAAAGGGUCAACGUGGUCUCUGUACAUUGCUUCGAUGAUUUAUAAUAACUCGAAGGAACGCACGUCUAUCGUAUUGGCGAUGCAUUAUUUAAAUUCUGCCAUACAAACUUUCGAUGGUAGGAUAGUGGCCUACCAUGGUGGUGAUGGUGACAGAGAAUUAGGAUUCAAUUCUGGAGAGGGAUCCUGAGAAACAACUACCACAUCCAAGGAAGGGAGCAGGCACGCAAAUUACCCAAUCCAGACACGGGGAGGUAGUGAUAAUAAAUAAAACUACCACGCGUACUAAGUCUGGUAUUUGGAAUGAGUACAAUCUAAAUCCCUUAACGAGGAUCCAUUGGAGGGCAAGUUUGGUGCCAGCAUCCCUGGUAAUUCCAGCUUUAAUAGCAUAUAUUCAAGUUGUUGCAGUUAAAAAGCUCAUAGUUAGACUUUGGGAUGGGCUGGCUGGUCCGCCUGUUGUGUGCACCGGUCAUAUCGUCCCUUAUGUCAGCAAUGCACUCCUAGCCUUAACUGGCCGGGUCGUGCCUCUGGCUCUAUCACUUUGAUGAAAUUAGAGUUCUCAAAGAAAGCCUACGCUCUGUAUACAUUAGCAUGGGAUAACAUUCUAGUAUUUCAAUCCUAUUACGUUUGCCUUUGGGAUCGAAUUAAUGAUUAACAAGGACAAUUGAGGGCAUUCGUAUUUCAUAGUCAGAGGUGAAAUUCUUGGAUUUAUGAAAGAUGAACAACUACGAAGGCAUUUGCCAAGGAUUUUUUCGUUAAUCAAAAAUGAAAGUAUGAGGCUCAAAGACAAUCAAAUACCGUCCGAGUCUCAACCAUAAACGAUGCCGACCAGGGAUCGGCGGAUGUUGCUCUUAGGACUUUGCCGACACCUUAUGAGAAAUCGAAGUUCUUGGGUUACUGGGGGUGUAUGGUCGCAAGGCUAAAACUUAAAGGAAUUAACGGAAGGGCACCACCAUGAGUGGGGCCUGCCACUCAAUUUGACUCAACACGGUGAAACUUACCAGGUCCAGACAUAGUAAGGAUUAAUAGACUAAGAGUUGUUUCUUGAUUUUAUGGGUGGUGGUGCAUGGAUGUACUUAGUUAGCGGAGCAAUUUGUCUGGUUAAUUUCGUUAACGAACGAGACCUCAGCCUACUAACUAGCUAUGCGGAGGUAACCCUUCAUGGCUAGCUUCUUAGAGGUACUAUGGCCUUUUAGGCCGCAAAAGUUUAAGGUAAUAACAAGUCUGUGAUGCCCCUAGAUGUUCUGGGCCGCACGCGCACUAUACUGAUGUAUUCAACGAGGCCUGGGUAAUAUUUAAAAUUUUAUUAUGCCCCUUUGUACAUAAUACCUGUCACUCCUACCUAUUAAAUGAUCCAGUGAAAUAUUUGGAUCACGCCAACGUAGGCGUUUUAUUGCCCGUGACAUUGUGAGAAGUCCAUUGAACCUUAUUAUUUAGAGAAAGGAGAAGUCGUAACAAGGUUUCCUAGGUGAACCUGUGGAAG